UACGUAGGGCGCAAGCGUUGUCCGGAAUUAUUGGGCGUAAAGAGCUCGUAGGCGGCCUGUUGCGUCCGCUGUGAAAUCCCUGGGCUCAACCUGGGAAUGGCAGUGGAUACUGGACGGCUAGAAUGCGGUAGAGGGUAGUGGAAUUCCCGGUGUAGCAGUGAAAUGCGUAGAUAUCAGGAGGAACACCUGUGGCGAAAGCGGCUCACUGGACCAUAACUGACGCUGAUGCACGAAAGCUAGGGGAGCAAACAGG
rnacentral:rRNA from 1 species